ACCUACGGGGGGCAGCAGUGAGGAAUAUUGGUCAAUGGGCGGAAGCCUGAACCAGCCAAGUCGCGUGAGGGAAUAAGGCCCUACGGGUCGUAAACCUCUUUUGCCGGGGAGCAAGGGCCGGGACGCGUCCCGGCCCGGAGAGUACCCGGAGAAAAAGCAUCGGCUAACUCCGUGCCAGCAGCCGCGGUAAUACGGAGGAUGCGAGCGUUAUCCGGAUUUAUUGGGUUUAAAGGGUGCGUAGGCGGGCUUUGAAGUCAGCGGUAAGAAUUCGGGGCUAAACCCCGGCCGGCCGUUGAAACUGGGGG
rnacentral:rRNA from 1 species